UGUAGGGGUCUAGAGAAAGUUAGAGGACUGAAAGAAGGUGAAGUUAUCCUUCAAGUCGGCAAUGGGGUAAGAGUUACUGUUGUAGCCAUCGGGACUUACUCUUUGUGAUUACCAUUAGAAUUUAGUUUAAUUUUAAAGAAUUGUUAUUAUGUACUUGUAGCUAGUAGAAAUUUAAUUUUUAUAUCAGUGCUUGCACAAGAUAAUUAUAAUUUC
rnacentral:lncRNA from 1 species